UUGUGAGGCAUCUCCGGGUAGGGCGCCGGCCUAAGUUCCUUGGAACAGGACGUCACAGAGGGUGAGAAUCCCGUGCUUGGCUGGCUGUCCCCGUCCAUGUGAGGUGUCUUCGACGAGUCGAGUUGUUUGGGAAUGCAGCUCAAAAUGGGUGGUAAAUUUCAUCUAAAGCUAAAUAUUGGUGGGAGACCGAUAGCGCACAAGUAGAGUGAUCGAAAGAUGAAAAGCACUUUGAAAAUAGAGUUAAAAAGUACGUGAAAUUGUUGAAAGGGAAGCGCUUGAGACCAGACUUCGGUAGGGGGUGAUCACCCGUCCUUCUGGGCGGUGCACUUGCCCCCCUCCGGGCCAGCAUCGGUUGAGGCGGCGGGAUAAAGGUCCCGGGAAUGUGGCUCCUUCGCGGGAGUGUUAUAGCCCGGGUGAAUGCCGCCAGUCUCGACCGAGGACCGCACCCGCAAGGGUUAGGAUGCUUGGCAUAAUGGUCUUCAGCGAC
rnacentral:rRNA from 1 species